rnacentral:rRNA from 1 species
UACGUAGGGUGCGAGCGUUGUCCGGAAUUAUUGGGCGUAAAGGGCUCGUAGGCGGUCUGUCGCGUCGAAAGUGAAAACCCAGGGCUUAACCCUGGGCCUGCUUCCGAUACGGGCAGACUAGAGGUAUGCAGGGGAGAGCGGAAUUCCUGGUGUAGCGGUGAAAUGCGCAGAUAUCAGGAGGAACACCGGUGGCGAAGGCGGUUCUCUGGGCAUUACCUGACGCUGAGGAGCGAAAGUGUGGGGAGCGAACAGG